AGAACCUCCGAUGCCAAAGUUAGAAUUUAGAGACAAAGAGUGUUUAGAGAAUUUUGGGAUUUUUGCCAAAGUGUUGGAAUGAAUAUUUGGUGAAAAUAUGAGCCUAUUUAUAGGGCUAGGUUGGUUUAGGUUUUAUUUUGGUUUAAUUAGCCAAUUAAUUGGCUAAUUAAACAUAAAAGGAAAUAUUUUUUGGUUAUGGAAUUAAUUGGCUAAUAAAAGGAAAAGAAAUGGUGAAAAAAGGUAGAAAAAGUGAUGGAUUAGGUUUUGAAUGGGGAUAGCCAGCCAUGUGGUGUUUUAGGGUUGAAUUGGAUGUAUUUUGUGGUUAUUUGGAUAUAAUGGAUGGUUUAAUUGACAAUUAAUGGGUUAAUUAGGCAAUAAACCCAUUAAUUAGCCAAUUAACAUAAUUUAAAAGGAAUGUGUUUGGGAAUUACCUUGUAGAAAAGAUUUGAUGAGAUGGACUUUGAAUUGUUACCUAUUUUGGGCACUUCUGUCUUGGUUGAAAGAGGGUUGCCCACUACUUGCGCGUAGGAACCUCGUUGUACUGCAAGGGUAUUUUUGUCAUUUUUGUCCAAAAAUCCACGUGUCGCCUUGUGAAUAUUUUUGGCUCCACACGUCUCUUUUGUGUCUCUUUACUAAGUUUUUUGACACGUGUCCCUCUACUUAAAAGAAACACAAAUGAGACAUGCAAUUGAGGACAGUAGACCCUUGGCCUAAGUAGCAAACCAUAAUGAUUUAGACUGUUGGGUUCUAGGUCAUACAUUUAGGAUACCAUUGAUUCGAAUAAUUAAUUAUGUAGCGAAACUAAACAUAUAAAUAAUAAAGUUAGGCAAUUUUUAUUUGAUAUUUUUUUCAAGGUUCUAAAAAACGCUAUGCACUAGUCGGGCGGCGAGCUGGCGCCUAGCGCCUAGGCGGAUUUAGGUAAAUUUCUUGUAAUCUUGUAAGUAAGUGCAUAUUGAUACUUACAAAAAAUUAUACUUGUAUGAAAUUCAUGAAUACAAUGAUAAAUAAAAAAAUGAUAAAAUACAAAACUAGUAUCCAAAGUUCAAAUUUUAAAACACACAUAUAUGCCAUAUUAGUUAAGAUAAUUUGAAUGAUUAUAUCUAAUUUUCAUAAAAAUAAAAAUAAAAAUCCCACGUGUCUGAUGUGAAGAGGUGCAUGCAUCCUCCCCAAUUUCAAAACGCACCAUGUGUGUGGUGUGACCCUUACCCUCCACCCCUAGUCCCCAUCCCUCACAUCAGUCAAGAGACUCCUUUUUUGACGCCAUGAUAACCGAAAACGUUUAUUCAUUUUUAUUCUUUCCUUUUUCUCAUGGUAUUCGUCUUCUUUCCUUUCCACUUCUUCUUUCUUUUUCUUUCCGUUUUCCUUCUUGUACGUUCUCCCUUUUUUUCUUGUUUCCUCUUCUUCUGUUUUGCAUUGUAAGUUCCUCUUCUUCGAUGGAUUUCAGAGAGAGGGAGUCGCAACAUCUAAGAAAGUCGUGGUGCACAGAGGGAGGGAGUCGAAGUGGUAGAAUUUCUUCCCAGGAAACCUCCACUCCGCCUAGACCGCCGCCUAGACAGCCGCCUGGACCGCCCAGGCCGCCUAAGAGCGCCUAACAACUCCCCGAUUUUUCUUAACGAUUCGGACCUAAUCACAUCGGCACCACCACGCCUAGGCCGUUUUUUAGAACACUGAUUUUUUUUAAUGGGAACGAUAAUUUCAUUUCAUCCUUUGAACGAGAAUUAAUGACACAUUGAAUCUUGGAGAUGGUCCCAAUCUUGAAUAACAUCAAAAGGUUUCUCGUUCCAGACUUAAUUACCAAUUAACAAAGCAAAACGAGCUAGACAGUGAGCAACCUCGUUGCAACAAAGUAAAACAUGAACAAAUUCCACAAACUGUAACCGAGCAACCCACUCUUUGGAGUCUUCAAUGGAUCGGAAAAGUCUCUCUCUCCGGCUCCACAACAAAAUCUCAAGUGAGUGAGGAGGGACAAAGCAAUUUGUUUUUCUUCACCCAACAUUAUUUUCCUUACUUUUCUACGCUGAAAUUUGUUGUUAGUAAUUACAAGUCUCCUUUCUUUCUGGCCUUGGAGCUGCGUUGUAAGCAAAUCUAACACAAAGUAAAAUUCACGGGAUAUUCUCUCCCGCACAUUUAUUAAAUCUCAACUGUUCACACACGAAGAAAAUAUUGUCAAGGUGAGAAAAGCUCAACAACGCAUCACUCAAUUUUUUGGGUGGGGGGGGGGGGGGGGGGGUAAGGUUAAAAACCCCGUCAAAUUUGCUGUCAAAGUUUUGAAAUUGAAAUUUUGAUGCACAGUUUCUUGAGGAAACGGUGAUUUAGUAUUAUCAAGCUCAAAUCAGCAACAUAAGCGGUAGGUCGCACUUGGUAGAGGUUGCACUUGAUGCGAUAGCAAGUGCCUUCGCCCAUAAGCGGUAGGUCUCGGGUUCGAGACUUGGGAGCAGCCUCUCCAUAAAUGAGGAUAAGGCUAGCCGACAUUCACCUCUCCCAGACCUUGCGUAAAGCGGGAGCCUUGUGCACUGGGUACGACCUUUUUAAGCUCAAAUCAGCAACAGAGCGUCUUUAACAAAAUACAGUUUCUACGGUGUACCAAAACAAAACAAAGUAUUAGUUAAAAAGUUAGGGUAAUCUGGUUUGACAUCUUUGGCGCCUUCAAACAUUAAAUUAUGAUGAACCCAGCCGUUUUUGAACUUCUUCC
rnacentral:lncRNA from 1 species